rnacentral:rRNA from 1 species
CUUACGGGAGGCAGCAGUGGGGAUAUGCACAUGACGCAAGUCUGAUGCAGCGACGCCGUGUGAGAUGACGGCUUCGGGUGUAAACCCCUUUCGAUCCGACGAAGCCGGUUUGCCGGUGACGGUAGGGGUAGAAGAAGCGCCGGCCAACUACGUGCCAGCAGCCGCGGUAAGACGUAGGGCGCGAGCGUUGUCCGGGAUUUAUUGGGCGUAAAGGGCUCGUAGGCGGUCUGCUGCGUCUUCCGUGAAAACCUGUGGCUUAACUACAGGCUUGCGGUGGAUACGGGUGGGCUGGAGUGCGGUAGGGGAGACUGGAAUUCCUGGUGUAGCGGUGAAAUGCGCAGAUAUCAGGAGGAACACCGGUGGCGAAGGCGGGUCUCUGGGCCGUUACUGACGCUGAGGAGCGAAAGCAUGGGGUGCGAACAGGAUUAGAUACCCUGGUAGUCCAUGCUGUAAACGUUGGGCGCUAGGUGUGGGGGGCCUCUCCGGUUUCCUGCGCCGUAGCUAACGCAUUAAGCGCCCCGCCUGGGGAGUACGGCCGCAAGGCUAAAACUCAAAGGAAUUGACGGGGGCCCGCACAAGCGGCGGAGCAUGCGGAUUAAUUCGAUGCGACGCGAAGAACCUUACCUGGGUUUGACAUCACCGCAAAUCUUUCAGAGAUGGGAGGUCCUUCGGGGGCGGUGACAGGUGGUGCAUGGCUGUCGUCAGCUCGUGUCGUGAGAUGUUGGGUUAAGUCCCGCAACGAGCGCAACCCUCGUUCGAUGUUGCCAGCGGGUGAUGCCGGGGACUCAUCGAAGACUGCCGGGGUCAACUCGGAGGAAGGUGGGGAUGACGUCAAGUCAUCAUGCCCCUUAUGUCCAGGGCUUCACGCAUGCUACAAUGGCCGGUACAAUGGGUUGCGAUACCGUGAGGUGGAGCGAAUCCCAAAAAGCCGGUCUCAGUUCGGAUCGGGGUCUGCAACUCGACCCCGUGAAGUCGGAGUCGCUAGUAAUCGCAGAUCAGCAACGCCGCGGUGAAUACGUUCCCGGG